GACUCGGUGGCGCAACGGUAGCGCGUCUGACUCCAGAUCAGAAGAAGGCUGCGAGUUCAAAUCACGUCCGGGUCA